AUAAAAAUAGCUAAAAUAACCUACUUUUACUGAAAUAAAAUUGCUGUAAUGCCAAACUGAAACCAGUGUGUAUUAUUUGUUAUCCACAGGGAAAUAUUUCAAGCUGGAGGCCAGGAGAAAUUAUAGCCCAUGACCUUCAUGUCUUAGCUUGACCCAACAUGUCAUUACAGCUAAACCUGGUUAAGAUGAACAGGAAUAAUCCAGUCAGAGUAAGUUAGGUGGAGAGAAGAUGAGCUUGCUCAUUGCUCUGAUGUACUGAGAGCCAUCCAGGGAUGAAAGUUUUAGGCUGCUCAUGGGUAGCAGGGCCCUGUUAGUGUAAUAUCUGAGCAAUGGAGUCUGUGCUUGGAUUGCCUCCAGAUACACCUAAAAGUGGAGAACAGAACAAAAGUGCAGAACAGAACCUGGAUGUGCUGAAUGUACCUGUGUGAUGUCAUCAGUAUCCUGGGCUGCAUUCUGAAAGACGGACUGGCAGUGCUGCAGAUAUUGCUCAUACAGGGUUCGUGUGUAUGCAUCAGUGUCCAGCACCUCAUCGCUGGGCUCUGUUCUCCUCAGUCCUCCAAUGCUACCGGUUACCAAGAUCCUUCCACAUCUUCUUCUCUUCAUGUCCGGUAGAAAGGUCUGUAUGGUGCGAAUGGUGCCCAGCAGGUUGACCUCUAGGACGUCACGUAUAGUGUCCAUUGAGAGGGUCUCCAGAGGUCCCAUCAGACCUACACCUGCAUUACAAACUAACAUCAAGAUAAUGAAAGAGAAGCAGAGCAUCAAGUAUGGACUGCUGGUCUGUAACAUCCAUCUGGAGAAUGGCCAUAGUAUCCGCAUGUAAUCCUCUUACAGUCUCCAAUAGACGUUGUUUCUUGUCCAAGUUGCGCAUGGUAGCAUAGACUAAGCAAAAUAAAU